AGCAGAUUGAUUGAAUAAAAAUGGUACGAAUAUAAAUAGUUGCUGAAUUGAUCUUCAAAUUAACAGAUUCUUAGAAGAAUUCAACCAGUUCACAUCAAACUUCUAUUCAAAAUGAAAUCCUUCCUUAUCACACUUUUGGUAUGCUUUGCCAUCGUACUCUCAAUGGCUGCAGCUGCUCCAUCCGAAGAAGGAAUUUUCGGUGACUUACCCGACAGUGAUAUUGUCAAUCCACAAGAGCCCAGUGAAUCACUGAAAUUGUUGCUGUUGAAGAAACUCAAGCUCAAGUUAUUGAGGGGUUGAUCUGUUUAUAGAUUGAUUAUGACUGAACUACACACCAAAAUGUACUAUUUUUAAGUUAUUUUUAUUGAAUAAAACAUAUUUAAGAAAACACU